ACAAACAAUAGGAAGGAAGAGGGGGAGGGAAGAUGAGGUUAACAGUAAUAACAUCAUGUGGUUAUGUAGGUUAACAGUGUGAAGGGUUUGAUGACUGGCUUCUGAAACCUUUUAUUUUAAAGUAUUUUCUCUACAACACCUUCUGAAGAUACGUUUUGUAUUGAAUUAAAUUUUGCGCCUCACCCCUCCGCAGAAAAGUACCUCCAGUUACUUUCCAUUGGGUGAAGUUUUACUCCAAUGGCCUAUAAACCACCCUACAUAUCUGUGUGCCUCCUUUCAGAGCAACAGCUGCCCAUCUCUGAGCAGCUCUCCUCUCCACGCGUGCAGGGUGCCCGUCCAACAGAUUUUGUGGCACCCAAUUAUCGCCCUGGGCCACAGGUCCUGCUGUGGUGCCCUCAGCCUCCUGCUCUUUGGGCUGCCCUGCAGAUACCUGCUGCAGGGGAGUCUGUGAAUGCGAGGGCAUCCUGCCAGUGCCUGCCCGCUGCCCGGCAGCAUUCCCAGCUGCCUUCAGCUCCUGCAUUUCAGUUUUCAUGACCACAGGAGCUGGCCAAGGUGAGAUCCAUAGGGCUCCACCUUUGUGCUGCUGCGAGCUGGUGCCUCGGGUAAGCACACACACACACCCAGCCAGUUCUGGGAUUCAGCCACGGCACACAGGAUUACCAAGUGGUUGCUGCAAAGGAGCACGGCAGGAUAAACCAUAGCAAAAGGCUCUUCCUCACUUCCAAAACACGCCGGGGAACAUCUUGUUCCUUUUGUGUACGGCCCUUUGGCGUUCCAGGGGAGUGCGACAAAGGUAAAUUAAUUGCAUCCCUCUGAAAUCAAGAGGACAGGAAAGCCUGAACUAGUCAGUUAGACCAUGAAUUAUUACAAACAAAACAAAAAGGAAGAUUUAAAGGUUAUGACACAGCUCCAGAUGUUUUAUCGAUUUUGUUCAUAUAUAAAUACAAAUUGAGUUUGCAAUGCUACGGGUCUGAACCGAUGUGGAAACAGAUGUCUGCGCAGAAGUACUUAACCAGAGGCACUGUCUCAGUUCUGAUGUUUUCGUGAUGUAUAUUUUAGUGUACUGGCUACGCUGACAGGGGCACGCUCACACCCAAGCCUGCAGUUCAGUGACUGCGAGAGGAUUUUUUCAGACAGUCCCCUCUCCUGUUCAUGAGGCUCUCUAAGAAAAUGUAUUGUGACAUGCCUCACCUUUACCUGCAAGUAAACUGUGUUUGUGGAAAAGCCCCUAAAGAGUGAAAACUCAUUAAUUUGACAAAACACGAAAGAAACCCAGACUCUUGAUUACACACGUUUUUCUCCUGUAUUUAGUGCUUAUGGGAAUUUCAGACUGACCAUAAAAUGGUAUUAAAAUAAGAGCUCAGCAGCCUACUCUGAAAUAAAACCACAAACUGCACGUAACGCCUUGAUAAAACUACUACUGGAAACCUAUUUAACAUUAUAAUCCAGCCUGUUUUACUAUGUACUAGGGAAGUCUGGGUCCCAGUCAUAACCACAUGCUAUGUAGAACGGGAGGAAACUUAGGCAGAAAUCCUUAACCUGUAAUCCUCCAUACAAACAUGUGCACGCAGGAAUUUUCCUUGCAAUGGCUAGAGAAAAGAGUUAGGAAAUAAAUUGCUUUACAGAGUGCAAAGCUAGGUACCGCAUACGUGCUAUUUUGAGAACUUAGCAGCAGCUAAGCCUUACGCUAGUCCCGUAUGAAGAAGCUAAAUUCAUUUUACAUGUUUGGUGGCUUAUGGAGAAUGCCUUGGGCUAUGAAGAUAAUACUUGGUUUUGGUCUAUUUCUUUAUUUAAAACAUUGAGGAAGUUAUACAUUCCUGAAAGAGAAGAUUUUUUAAAGUAUUCUAAACAUGUGGUCAAAGAACAUGUAAUCCUAAAAAAAAUAAUUCUCUUGUACUGCUAUCUUGGAUCCAUUUAGAUGAUUUCUUUUGUCAAGAACAGUCACACAAAUUUUAGCUGUUGUGAACACAGUCUAAGUUUCAUGCCAGUCUCCCCCAGAACACCAGUUUGAUCCUCUGCUGUGCUGCAGCCCUUUCUCUGUAGUCCCCUCUCCUCCACAGCCUGUUUCUGGGAGUAAGUGAUGAAAAUAAACUCCGUACAAAUUGCCUGAGAACAUUUCAUUGCGCAGACCCAGGGUGGCUGACACUUGUGAAUAAGAUAACCUUUUCAUUUCUUUUUUUUUUCCUUUUAGUGGAUUAAAAGUGACCUUUUAAUGCUAAAGUUCAUUAGUGCUUGGAUAUCAUAUUGAUGAGCUUUGUAUAACUGAAUGGAUGAACAGAUAAGUCAGAACCAAGGUAAUGAGCUUACGGCUGCUAGGAGGUAACUGCAGCCAUGCCAUUGAUGCUAUUUAAAGAAUUUCUGAAUGCUAUUUAUUGGCAGUCUUGGUUCAGAAGUCACUAUCACUUCUUUGAUCAUAACCAAGGGUAUUUUGUUCUUACUGUUGUAGCUACAUAAGUUUCUAGAAAUCCAGCUAGACGGCUGUUCUUAUUACUCAUGGCUUCAUUAUCAGUUUGUUUUUCUGCUCAUUACUGGCACUGACCUUGCCAAGAGCUAUGCACAUGCAUAAUUUUACUCACGCGAUUAGACUCAUUAAAGCUAAUGGGAUUAGUCAAGAAAGUAAAGCUACUUCUGCCUAAGUGUUUGUCGUUUGGGGCAGUUCGACUAGGAACAAGAUCAGGAAACUGGAAGGAAUUCAGACCAAACAAUGUUUUUCCUUAAAAGUCACGUAAAGAGAAAUUCAAACAAUUUUUCCUUAACCCAAGCCUGAUAGGUGAUGAACAAGAGAUGCUGUUGUUCUCAAGCAGCUUUCCAGGUACUUAGCCUUCACGAUCAGAGCUACAGAUUCACACAGAAAAGUUUUCACUUCUGAAUUUCCUUUACCUUGUAUGCCUUUCAACUAUGUAUUCUCCUUUCCCAGUUUUGACCUGCGAAAACGAAAAAGUUUUUUUACCCUUAUUUUGUCACUCAGCACAAUUCAUCAAUUUAUGCACAGGUGGUUUUGCACUGGAGGUGAACAGGAAUUUUCUACCAUUGGUUUCUCUUCAGAAAAGGGUGUUUUGUCCAAACCGAGGCUGGUUUCAGCAAACUUUACCAGGUCUUUCCUCGAAUCUAGGAUGAAAUUUCUACUGAGAGGCAAUGGGAAAUAGACAUCCAGUCCAAGAGCCCAGCAGCAGAGGCUGAUGUAACCCAACAGCUAUGCCACGAUGCUGCAAACCAGGAGAACCCAGAAGAGGUUUUGCUCACACAGAAUGAGGGAGAUUGCCUUGAAUUAAACAGCAUAAAACGUCUGUUAUCUCAGAGGACUGGCCUGAGAUAGGCUCGUAGGCUUACGUUUUUUUGUGUGAAACCUUCCAGAGAUGUUUAUUUUGCUACAGUACGGGGAAUAGACUGUGAGGACGUUUUCUGGAAAAAGAAAUCCAUUUCUUUCCCAGUACUUCUGUUGUACUUUUGUACCUCAUUUCAAGCACUGCGAGUCUGCCUGUCUGUGACCUGCCUGCUGAAAGCCUCGCAGAAGCAUUAGCGCAGCCAGAAAUACAAUAUUUAGAGAGCAGCUGUGUUCCAGACCCUUUCUCUGAUAGCCGUCUUGGCUUGGUCUGAGAGAGGAGUGGCAGGGAGCAGUUAUUCUCUCUCUGCUUUCUACCCCAAGGAAAUUCCCUACCGGAUUGUCGGGACAAUUUUAUGGCCAUCGGAACAACAGACCAAACAUACAGAUAGCCGCUGAAUUAUGCCCCGAUGCGCACGAUGUUAUGAACGUUGGGGAGAGCCAUGUGGUGCUCCUGCAGUGCUUAAUCUUGAUGGAGCCCCAGCGCCCAAGGUUUUACGAUUAAUGGCAGGGGAGGAACACCCCAGCGACAGUUAGGGUUUUGCCAGCUUGUACUGUAUAUACAGCUGUUGCUGCACAGGGGAGGGAAACGCAGGGUCUGGCUGUCUGUUCCGAACAAAAAGAACUGGCACAUGCUAUUACUUCCAGAUCAUUGCAGUCCCUGCACCACCAUCUGCUGGGGGUCAGAGCAGUUGUCCGGGUCGGCGUCAGUCAUGCACAAACUCAAUGCCUUCCCCGGCGCUGCGCCCAGCAGUACAUAUUUACAAGAACAAUAAAGCGAACCUGCUCCCCGGACACAGGCACCACAAUGCUCCGGCACAUUCGGAACAAAGGGGCACAACGAAAGUUGCUCUGCAUUACAAAGGGGGUUCUCGGGGAUCACAGCUUUGUGAUUUCAGGCCGUAACACAAAUUGAAGUGAAGAAAAACUGUCACCAAUAAGCUCAGACCCGGGGAUCAUUGUGUCUGUAAUUGACGUAGCAGCUCUAAAAGGGUGCCUGGCUCUCCGCGUUUCCCCUUUCCCUUUUUACAAAGUCCUGUGUAAAAGAUAGCUGAAUGGGGAAGGCUUUGACAGUAAACGUUAAGCACUUGGAUAUAUUAUUCUGUAUCAGCGGCCGGAUGAUCGCCCCCACCUUCCCCAGCUUGCCUCUGCCCACAUCUUUUACCGGGGUUAUGCCACGUGCUGAGGCAAGGUGCGGAGAGCUCUGAGCUGGGGUAAACUGGGCAGCUCCUCGAAACGGGGCCACUACGCUGUGAUGCUGAAACCAAAUGAGGAGUUUUAGCAUCUCUUCAGCCCGAGCAACAGCUAGUGAGUAACUCAUUUCUUCUGCUAAAAAGGGCUGCUUCCGGUAACACCAGCGUCACACACCAACUGGAACUGUAGGAUCCUGCUGGCCCCUCUCUCAGUGCUUUCCUGAGCCUGUGGCUCCUGGGAGGGGACGUGGGGCUCCUUGUGACACGCCGAGGCGCAGUGCAGAGGCCCAGAAGUAAAGCCCAGCUCCUCUCCUCAGCCUGGGCUGGUUUGCUGCAGGGCUGAGCCCGAUGUCCCCACACUGGAUCAAAAUGGAAGCGGUGGAGCAAUGGAGCUCAGAGCUCAAACCUGCAUUGCUCAUGACAAACUCAGCAAUAUUCAGCCCAUUUUGGUCUCAGCAUCAGUAGUAUUAAAGCAGGCAACAGUGCCAGAAUGGGGUAAGAGGAAUGGGCAGCAGCAGCCCUGGAAAGCUGUGAAGAGGGCAGGUGGAGCUAGACCCAGAGUAUUUGUUAAGUGAGGCUUACUGCCAAAUAACUAGAAACCAUGCUGUACUGAGCGAGAAUUCGCUAAGGGCUGCUGUACUCUGCCUCACAUAGCUGCAGUAUCUGUCACAGCGCUACCACAUACAUAAUCUUUGACAUUUCAUCUGAUAAUUAGUGGUUUUGGCACAAGCAAACCCGAUCUCGUUAGGUCCUCUCCUCAGUUGUUUUCAUAUUUCACUAAGCUCCACUCUGGGCAUUAUUUCAUUAAGCCUCUUGGGUGCGUGUCACGUUUGAAAGCACUCUUGGAUGCACUCACCCUGCCUGAAACGUAACGCGGGGCCGGGGACCUCCAGGUAGCUGCACCCACACGCCUUCCAACCCCACCUCCUCGGCCUCCCUGGCACCAGGACACCCCGCUGCCGGAGCAGCAGAGCUGGUUCUGGAGCCCGCGGGGGAACGUGGUGCAGCGUUCGCUCUGUUCCCUUGGAAAACGUCACGGGGCACGGCUGUGUGUUUGUAAUUUGAGGGCACUUACCCCGAGCUCUUCAGCACUGAGCUGAACCGCGCCAGUUUGCACUGCAGCGAGGCAGUCCUCGGGGUGGGAUCAGAACAAAAAGGAAAGGUUUUUUAAAUCACAGCAUUGAGAUUGAAAAGCCACAAGAAAUCUUCUGACCUAAUGAAAUAACUCUUAAUAUAAAAAAAAAAAA